rnacentral:rRNA from 1 species
UCUGGUGAUGAUGGCGAAGAGGUCACACCCGUUCCCAUACCGAACACGGAAGUUAAGCUCUUCAGCGCCGAUGGUAGUUGGGGGGUCUCCCCCUGUGAGAGUAGGACAUCGCCAGGC